CGGGUUAGAAAGGAGAAACGACGUGGAUCUAAAGGCGAAGCCCAUGCUGAGGACUUUUCAAAAUGGCCUCUUAUCGGCCCCACUCACAGGAGCUUCAGGCUUCGGUGGCCCUGUAGGACAACCCUGGGGUGUCAUUGGAGAGAAGCUGACGGGGUUAAUGGCGGGUGACAGGUGAAAGAGACCCCGGAGGGGUGGGGCCGGUGUGUGUGGCUAAGCUGAGUCCCAGGCACAGGGUGGAUGUGAAUUUAUGGGUGGCAGAGCUAGAGCUAGGCCCUGCCCUUACCUAGGUCCUGGCUUCGAGGUCCACUGUUCUGUCGCGUCUUUUGACGCAUCGGUGGAAGAACUGAAUUUCAGGAUGCUCACAAACCUGCAGCUGGAAGCUAGACUUCCAAACCUUAGUUUAAAAAAGCAACUCUACUGAAAUACUAAAAUAAAUUGCCGACGGAAUUAGGGUGAUUUCUUGUUCACGGUUUCAUUUAAAAAUGCACCUAUGUUAUUUACAGGAAAAACGUUUUAGUGGUGCUAGAGCUACAAGAAUAAGGUAAACAGAAGGAUGCUGCUAGACCAGGAGUACCUUACCCAGUCUGGGAUAGGAGGAGGUCGGGGAAGCCCUCCCUAAGCAAGACACGUGAGCUGAGUUUGAAGAAAAAGUUAAAAGGAAGGUGAAGUGCGGGAGAGAAACAGGGAAGGGAAUUUGGAGCAGAGUGAACAGCAUAUGCAAAGGUGUGGAAAUGUGGAAAUGCAUGACCCACCGCACCUGGCCUUAUGAGACCCUUUUGAUUGCCUGCGCUGGUGCUGUAGAUGGUAAGCUCCUGGAAGGCAGGCAUUGUUUCUGUCUUGUCUCUGCACUCCCAGCUUUUUGCAAAUUGCUUGUUACUUGGUGCCCAGUAUCUGUUGCAUGAACAGAUGGAUUCAUGAUUGAAUGUGGAGGAUGGAUGAGAGUGAGGCUAGAGGGCUGGGCACCAGUCAGGAGGCAGCAGCCUUAGUUAUUAGUGAGCAGAGAAGAUAGAACACAGAUUUGACAGAUCUGGAGAAGAUCAAAUGAACAGACUGAUUGGCGAAAGUCGGGGGCCAGGGGUGGGCAGUGUGUAAGAGAUCUCUCAGCUUUAUGAUUUGGUAGGCCUGGCUGCUGCUGCCAUUCCCUGAGCCAAGGAGCACAGGAGGAAA
rnacentral:lncRNA from 1 species